ensembl:misc_RNA Y_RNA Y RNA
AGCUGGUCCAAAGGUAAUGAAGUAUCUCAUUUGACUGUUCGCAAUCAGUUACAGAUUAAACUCCUGUUCUACUACUUUCCCCCUUCUCACUACCCCACUUGACUAGUCAUUA